UUUUUUUUUAAGUUUGAGACUGUUUGUUUCACUUUUAUAUAUUGGCUGGACUGAGGUGUGGGGAUAAGGUUCACUGCGCGUAGGAAGCGAAAUCCCCUUUUCUCUGCCUUGUCAGGUAGUUUGGAGAAGGAUGAAGGAUGCGCCCGGGUUAGCGAUUCAGAACUACUUCCAAAAGUUGUUUUUUUUUUUUUUAAAAAAAAGGAAAAAGGAAAAAAAAAAAGGGGUUUUCUGCUUUACCCCUUCAACCUCCUUCCCUCUCCGCAUCUACA